GGCCGCUUCUCAUCCGUACAUCGCCGCCGCGCCGACGUGUUCUAUCGUUCCUCCGCGUUGCAGUCCCUCUACUGGACGUUGGGUGCCAAGCCAGCAGUGUCGCCGCCUGCUUCGGAUUUGGGAGCUCGGCACCGGCAGCUAGGCCUGCCGGCGGAGCACCGGCACGCUGAUAUGGCCAAGCGGGGAUUUCCAGUGUCGGAGCGGCCCCCACCGGCCACUCGGUCGCCCGUACUGCCUACGCUCGCGCUCCAGGACUCCUUGGACACGUUGGUCUGCGCUCGCCGGUGAGGUAAAGCAGCGUCCUGCUCCGGCGGAUAGAAGACGGGGGCAGCAGGCUUUAUUUUGUCCUCUGGUCGGUUCUGCCUUGCAGCUCCGGAUCGUUUCUGCUCUGUACAUUGCAUCUCCCAUCCAGCAGUUCAGUUUGUGGAUUGCAUAUGGUUCCUACCUUCGUUUCACCAGAAAAGAAGCAGUGGCAUUCAAUUAGCAUGCUUGCAGAGCCUCAAAGUUGUGGAGUGAGAUGAUGGGUGGUGUACAAAGCACUCUGCGCAGGGCAUACAGGUUAUGAUGAAUUCAGAGGUUCGAGUGCCAUUUGUGUCCCUCUUAGAAAGAUCGAGGAGAUGAUAGUGGGUAUUCAAUCAGAUUAGUUGGCAUGCCAUGUACUAGACUGAAUGAACUAUUGAGAUCAGGUCAAUGGGCUUCGGACAUUACUUUGACUACUAGAAGAUUUAGGAUGGUUGAUUGUUUUCUGCAAGGCUCAUUCGGACAUUACUAUUAUGUCUGAGAAAUCAAUUCUCAGUCAUUACGUGUGGCAAUGAUGGUGAAAGUAUGUUAUGUAGCUCCUCCAUUGGCUGCAAAUGCUGGAGGUUUUUCAAACUGAGCAGGUAUAUGAUCAUAAUUAAGUCAGAGCGGUGAUCUUUUUUAAAUGUAACAUGGUGCUAUGUACAGUCUAGAUACUGUAGUUGAUACUUGGGAUAUUCGAGACAUAUCUGUGAGAAUUUUAAGGUGUUGCCAAUAAUGUCAUUGUUCAAUGCCUAUUUAUGGCUUUUGUGAUACUAUUUCACAUAUAGAAAUAUAUUUAUAUUUUUUCUAUAGUGUCGUCAGAAUUGAUUACACCGCUCUGUCAAUACCUCUUAAUACAACUUUUAUAAUUAAAGCAUUUUUCUAUCAUUUUAUAUGAAAAUGUUGUUAAUAAUUUUCGAUUAAGAAAAUAGAUUGUAUUUAUGGUCUACAUUGGUGUCCAGGUACCAGGUUACAUAUAUUCUAUUUCAUUCAAAAACUUUCACAAUAUGAUUUCAUUUCAUUCAUAAAUUCAAGAGUCUUAGGCCUUACAUACAACCCUCUAUAAGCGCUUAGAAACUAACGGAUUUAAUUCUCAAGAGUCUUAGCCCUUAGAACCUGGUCACUUAAAUAUGCUUUAUUGGGCACAUAUAUGCUACUGAUGUUUGCAUCCACAGUUUUCGAGAAUUGCUCCCUAACUGAAUAAGUAGCCAUUUAUGUACAUAAACUACAACUUCAAGAUAUCUUGGUCUUUUAGAUUGAUACAUGAAUGCACUAGCUAGAUAGUGCUGCGGAAUUAUAUAUGAGCUAUGGAAGAAACAAGUUUAUUAUCCGAUAGACUAAUUUUUAUAGGUGCAUAUGAAUUUAGCCAGCAUAGCACAAUUCUCCCACUCUUCCUUACCACAAGCCCCUCUUUCAAGAUACAGGGCUAAAAGACUUAGAAUUCCUGACUGUCUAUUUGAUUCUAGCGGAAUCAUGAAUGUCUGCUAUCAUUGUUGGAUUGUUAUGUUAUGUCCCUAAAGAGGGCAUGUUAAGGAAUAUUUGCAUCAUUUAGACAGGAUCAUUUUUGUCUUGUUCUUACUUACAAUAAGCUCUGCUCAGAAAUUUUGAUUUUUUUCAGUCAUUUAAAUUCAGGGCCGAGUUAUCGAUCUAGCAGCCUGAUUGUGCCAGUGAAAACGCUGCAACACUGGGUUAUUGGCUUCUAGAAAAUAGUUUGUAGUCAAUAUCAAGCACAUGUAGCAUCUUGGUCAUGCAGCGUUGGCUGGCAUCAUUCAGAGGCUACCUGACGGAUCCCACAAUUUAAUAUCUCUUAAGGAUUGCUUCGAGGGUUUUACAAUUUUUCUUACAUAUAUCUUACUGGUGAGACACUGCAAAAAAAAAGCAUCACUAUAACUGAAUAUCAAUGCAAUAGUCACCCCCUUGAAUAGCAAUGUCUCCUUAUGUGUGCUAUUUUUCAUUUCAGUCACACCAAUUUUAUGAUCAAAACAUGAAAGC